UGCCUGGUGGUGAAAUGGUAUCACACCGGCCUUUGGAGCCGUGGUUUCUGGUUCGAAUCCAGGCCAGGCAACCA
rnacentral:tRNA from 1 species